UAUAAUCCCAGAGGGCAGGGAGGGGUCACCUAUUAGGAUCACUGCUUUGUCACAUCUGUCAUGUUUCUCUUGCAAAUGUGUAAACUUGUAGUUUAUAAACUUGCACACUUUGCACCCAUUAUUCUCGUUCCACCUCACAAUUAAUCCCAAGGUUGGCGUGAUUAUCAGUAUCUUACGAUUGAGAAAAUGAGGACUUGGAGACCCUGAGACUCGACCAGGGUCCCUGUUAAUAAGUGGGAGGACUGAACUUGGCCAUGGACAGUCCAACUCCAAGUUCAUGGUGCUUUCCUCUCUCCACUACUGCUGCCUUCCCUUCCUAGUUCGAGCCUCAUCAUUUUUCUCCUAAACUGCUUCAGCAGCCUCUUAAAGCUGUCAGAAAGGCCUCCUAACUCCUUUCUUAGUCACUGAUGGGCCACAGCUCCAUCUUCUGGAAACUUCUGUGGCUGCCCAUCAUCGUGGGAUGAUGCAAACCCCUUAACAUGGCAUCCAGGGUCCUUUAUGAGCUGACUUGUCGCAUCGCCCCGACCCAUCUUCCUCCACUCGCUCUGCUGUCCGCGCUCCAGUGAGAGAAGUGCCCGCAGCUCCCUCAUGGUGCUGGGACUCCUGCUUCGCAGCCCCACACCCGGGCCUUCUGCCAGCAGUGUUCCUCCUUCAGGCUCACAGGCAAGGCAGGACUCGAUUUCCCACUCAGCAGCGGUGGUCCUGCCUCCUCUUCUGUACUCCCACUGCACGCUCUAUGUAGCUCAGGACACGUUUUUAGUGAGUCCCAGCUGAGUCUCUGACUGGAAAGAGUUCUGUGGGGGCAGGGACCUUACCUGCUCCAAGGCCAGAGAGUACCUGCUGAAUGGGGCCAAAGAGAAUCACAGAUGAGUGGGAAAGAGCCAGGCAUGGGGUCAGAAAGACUAAGUUUCUAUUCCGGUUCACUUACUCUGUGCCUAUGCUGGGUACUCCUCCGCGCGUCCUUUUUCUCACCAGUAGACCUGUGAUAGAUGUCCUCUGCAGCUGCUGCUGUGCUAGCUGCUUUCUGUGACUUGCUUACUCUGUGGCAGGCCCCUGAUAUGCUUUGUUCCAACCAAUUCUCACAGUGCUUCUGAGUUACACACCGGUGUCUUGCUUCACAGUUGAGAAGGUGAGAGGCACAGAGAGGUAAAGUAGUUUACCUGAAAUCACACAGCCAGCAAGUGGCAGGGCCAGGGCUUGCAGUUGGGUCUGACCACACAGCCUGAGCUUCUAACUACUGCGGUCUGCUGAGAACGGGAGGGGAUGAGACAGAUCAAACGUCCUUUACUAUCACCAGCUCUUGUUUUGGGAUCUUGGGUGACUGUAUUUAGUCACGUGUGGUAGGCAGCAGGUGGCAGUGGAAGUUACAAGAUGACUCCUGAGUGGUCUCAGCCCCAGAAGAGGCUUUUAUCUGUGGGGUGAGCAUGGGAAGUCAUUUUCUGACAAUGGCUGGACCGAGACAUCCGAAACACAGGCCUUGUGCCAGUGCUGAAAAGGGUACUUUCCAAAACCGACAGACCUCAGCCCACAUCUUAGCUCCUGAUGGAGGACUCUGGGCCCAGUCACUGCUGUCACCCUGGAACAGCUUUUCCCCUCUGUGUGUCUAAAUCUUGGUGCUGAUCAGGGAGCUGUGCCACACGCUCUGUAAAGCAUGGUGUGGCGCCAAGACCGCUGCCUUUACAGGUCACAGGCGUGGCCCUGAGUCCAAACCUUGGCCCUGCUGUGGAUCCCCGUGUGACCUUUGACAAGGCACACUUUCUCUCCUACAUACACUGGGAAUUGAAACCAUUCAGAGGGUGACUUGCGGAUGAAAGGGCAGACGUCAUGCAGCGUCUGGCACACGGGGGAGCGCGGUGGAAGUCCUCUUCCAUCUGGGCCUCCUCGGCUCAGGCACCGUCAUGAGGCUUUGCGGCUGCUUUCUUAAGGUAUCCCCACUUUGCUUUCUUCCCCUUCAGCAAGAGAAUUAAAGGACAAUGACCGAAUUCCUAAGUGGGGAAUCCCAGCCCCCAACCCUAUCCUCAUUUCCUACCCUGAUCCCUUUCUCCCUUGCCAGAGAAUAUUUCAUAUGCGUGUAGCAAAAACACCAGGGGUCUCGAGAGGUCAUAGCCUGAAAAGGAAGUAGAGAGAGCAGCAGAGGAAGUGACACUUAACGUAAAUGACCGUUUUUCAUGGACUCUGCUUCCCCAUUUCUUGAGACCCUGCUGAUUUCUGCUUUUCCCC